GACGUAGGGCGCGAGCGUUUGUCCGGAUUUAUUGGGCGUAAAGAGCUCGUAGGCGGUCUGUCGCGUCGAUCGUGAAAACUUGGGGCUUAACCCUGAGCUUGCGGUCGAUACGGGCAUGACUGGAGUUCGGCAGGGGAGACUGGAAUUCCUGGUGUAGCGGUGAAAUGCGCAGAUAUCAGGAGGAACACCGGUGGCGAAGGCGGGUCUCUGGGCCGAUACUGACGCUGAGGAGCGAAAGCGUGGGGAGCGAACAGGAUUAGAACCGCAGUAGUCAGUCCAAGACCAUCUC
rnacentral:rRNA from 1 species